UCCAAAGUCGAGCGGACAGAUGGGAGCUUGCUCCCUGAUGUUAGCGGCGGACGGGUGAGUAACACGUGGGUAACCUGCCUGUAAGACUGGGAUAACUCCGGGAAACCGGGGCUAAUACCGGAUGCUUGUUUGAACCGCAUGGUUCAAACAUAAAAGGUGGCUUCGGCUACCACUUACAGAUGGACCCGCGGCGCACUAGCUAGUUGGUGAGGUAAUGGCUCACCAAGGCGACGAUGCGUAGCCGACCUGAGAGGGUGAUCGGCCACACUGGGACUGAGACACGGCCCAGACUCCUACGGGAGGCAGCAGUAGGGAAUCUUCCGCAAUGGACGAAAGUCUGACGGAGCAACGCCCGUGAGUGAUGAAGGUUUUCGGAUCGUAAAGCUCUGUUGUUAGGGAAGAACAAGUGCCGUUCUAAUAGGGCGGUACCUUGACGGUACCUAACCAGAAAGCCACGGCUAACUACGUGCCAGCAGCCGCGGUAAUACGUAGGUGGCAAGCGUUGUCCGGAAUUAUGGGGCGUAAAGGGCUCGCAGGCGGUUUCUUAAGUCUGAUGUGAAAGCCCCCGGCUCACCCGGGGAGGGUCAUUGGAAACUGGGGAACUUGAGUGCAAAAGAGAAGAGUGGAAUUCCACGUGUAGCGUUGAAAUGCGUAGAGAUGUGNAGAAACACCAGUGGCGAAGGCGACUCUCUGGUCUGUAACUGACACUAGAAGCGAAAGCGUGGGGAGCGAACAGGAUAAGAUACCCUGUUAUCCACGCCGUAAACAAUAAGUGCUAAGUGUGAGAGGGGUUUCCGCCCCUUAUUGCUGCACUAACCAUAAAGCACUCCGCCUGGGGAGUACGGUCGCACGACUGAAACUCAAAGGGAGUAGAGGGGGCGCGCACAAGCGCUGGAGCAUGUGGUUUAAUUCGAAGCAACGCGAAGAACCUUACCAGGUCUUGACAUCCUCUGACAAUCCUAGAGAUAGGACGUCCCCUUCGGAA
rnacentral:rRNA from 1 species